rnacentral:lncRNA from 1 species
GCGUUGAGCUUCAUCUCCCCGGUGUAGAUGAAGUCCAGGAGCAGCCCCAGGCCCUCGGAGGGGCACUCCUCUGGCAGGGAGACCUCCACCAAGGGGGUGGCAGAGUAGGAGUCACGGAAGAGCUGGCUGAAGCAGGCCAGCACGCUGCGGUGGGCCCGGAACACCUCUCCAUCCACCGCGCUCAGCGUGGCGUCGCAGAAGCUACCCAGCGCCCUCUGCUGGUUCAGGGAGGACAACACCAGCUGGGCAUGUCUGUGUUCCAGCGCUGCCAUCUUCCGCCGCAGAGCCUUUUAAGCACAGAGCAGACACGGACGGCCUGUCAACAGCUUCAAACCCCGUGGAAUUGCCUAAUCUUACCUGCGUAACUAACGGAGGCCAUGUUGGAGAAGAGACCGGAUAUGACGUACUAGCGUGGCUAAAACUUCACCAGGAAGAUUGUCAAUUGCAGUGUGGGGCGCAGUUUCUCUUCAUGUCUAUUUUAUACAGAAAACCAGUUUUCAAAACGGAAUCUGAUAUAUAUGUGAAGGUUUAUAUGGCGCUGUACUAUAUCCUAACCAACAGAGGGCACCAACGCAGAAACGAAGGCCGGAAAAACUUCGGGAAGGUUUGUAGCUGUCCAUCAUUUUAUAGCUUAUGUUUUCUCAAGGAGGAAAAUGUAUUUAUAUGCUUAAUACAACAAUUUCGCUGUCCAUUUAAAUUAAAUUUAAUUUAUUUUCCAUGUACUAUUUUAAUUUUCAUGUAUGUGAAUAUGAAAACUGUUCUUAGACGAUUGAAGUCUCAAAUAUGCCUAUUCCCGAUGCAAUGA